rnacentral:snRNA from 1 species
CUUGAUCUUAGCCAAAAGGC